ACGAACGCUGGCGGCGUGCUUAACACAUGCAAGUCGAGCGAGGCCCAACCGGUGGCAACACCGGGGAAGGCCGAGCGGCGAACGGGUGAGUAACACGUGAGCAACCUGCCCCGAAGUUCGGGAUAACACCGGGAAACCGGUGCUAAUACCGGGUACCCCCACCGGGCCGCAUGACACGGUGAGGAAAGAAUUUCGCUUCGGGAGGGGCUCGCGGGCUAUCAGCUUGUUGGUGAGGUAACGGCUCACCAAGGCGACGACGGCUAGCUGGUCUGAGAGGACGACCAGCCACACUGGGACUGAGACACGGCCCAGACUCCUACGGGAGGCAGCAGUGGGGAAUCUUGCGCAAUGGGCGAAAGCCUGACGCAGCAACGCCGCGUGGGGGAUGAAGGCCUUCGGGUUGUAAACCCCUUUCAGCAGGGACGAAAUUGACGGUACCUGCAGAAGAAGCCCCGGCCAACUACGUGCCAGCAGCCGCGGUAAUACGUAGGGGGCGAGCGUUGUCCGGAUUCAUUGGGCGUAAAGAGCUCGUAGGCGGCUUGGCAAGUCAGGUGUGAAAUCUCUGGGCUCAACUCAGAGAGGCCACCUGAUACUGCUAUGGCUAGAGUCCGGUAGGGGACCAUGGAAUUCCUGGUGUAGCGGUGAAAUGCGCAGAUAUCAGGAGGAACACCGGUGGCGAAGGCGGUGGUCUGGGCCGGUACUGACGCUGAGGAGCGAAAGCGUGGGGAGCGAACAGGAUUAGAUACCCUAGUAGUCCACGCCGUAAACGUUGGGCACUAGGUGUGGGGCCUUAUCAACGGGUUCCGUGCCGUAGCUAACGCAUUAAGUGCCCCGNCUGGGGAGUACGGCCGCAAGGCUAAAACUCAAAGGAAUUGACGGGGGGCCGCACAAGCGGCGGAGCAUGUUGCUUAAUUCGAUGCAACGCGAAGAACCUUACCUUGGGUUGAACUACGUAGGAAAGCUACAGAGAUGUAGUGUUCGCAAGGGCCUUCGAUUGGUGGUGCAUGGCUGUUGUUAGGUUGUGUCGUGAGAAGUUGGGUUAAGUUCCGGAAAGAGGGGAACCCUUGUUUUAUGUUGCCAGUGGGUUAUGCGGGCGAUUUGUAGGAGACUCCCGGGGUCAAGUGGGAGGAAGGUGGGGAGGAGUUCAAUUCUGCAUGCCUUUCAUUCCCAGGGUAGCCAACUUGUUCCAAUGUUGGUUCCAAAGAUCUGAUAUCCCGGGGGGGUGAGUGAUUGUAAAAAACCAGUUCUCAUUUGGGAUGGAAUUUUGCAAUUGGAUUUAGGGAGGUGGGAGUGGUUGUUAUUCCAGAAUCACCAAUUCCGGGGAGAAUAUUUUCCGGCGCUUUGUACACACCGCCGUGUCAUACCAAAAAAGUUGGAACUCCAGAAGCCUGUGGUCCAACCCACAAGGAGGGAGCCGUCGAAGGUAUGAUUACAUGAUUGGGGUG
rnacentral:rRNA from 1 species